GCGCUUGUUUUUGCCUGCUUGCUCUUUUCUGUAUUGUUUGACCUGCAGAGAUUGUCUUCUACAAGCCGAGGGAGGUACGAUGAACGGAAGGAUUCUGCAAAUUUUUCAAUUGGACGGCAAGUACACAUUAUAGAAUAAUGAUUUCUGUGGACGAGUUGAGACUCAUCUACUGCAUGCUACUUCGGUGAUUUCAGAGCAGUAAUUUGAUAACUCAGUCUACCUUCAGCGAAGAAUCCAACUUUCCUGCCAAUGCCUUUAAAAAGGUUGUUUUCCCGGAACCAGGUGCUCCUAGAAGAAGUGUCAUCCUGAUUACAAAUGGGGUCACACAGUUUCAGUAUAUUAGGUAACCGUGCACUAUUGGGGCUGUGUUAGGCGCGUGUCUCAGACUCAUUAAUGUUUGGGUGUACCAGAUGCGCACCCAGGUGUACUCUAUGUACGAAGGAUGAGGCAGAGGAUUACUUGUCCUGAGAAAUCAACUGCUAACAAGCAAAAGAACAAGAUCAUAUUAAAAGCUGGUGCCGUCAUCAAUCAUCGUCUAGAGGCACUCCGGCGUCGUUGCUGCUAUCGAUCAUCGGUUGUGAAUAGUAGGCGCGGACUACAUUAAUUAAUGCAAAAUUGGGGGGAAGAUAUCGAUCCCCUUCAGAAAAGGAAAAUGCCCACCAAGGCCUCUCUCCUACUGCGGUGUCGGCGAAGCUUGCUUGCAAGCGGCGCCCGUGGGCUGUUGGCUGGAGUUGGAAAACAAAGAUCAUCAAAAAUGAAAAAGAAGAUUUUGUUCCUGGUCGAUUUUUCAGAGACCUGGUGGAAUGACACUGCUCAGUCUAAGUGAACAAAACCCAAAAAUGGAUGGAUCGAUCUGUGAAUGCAUCACCGAAUGUUGUCGGUCGGCCAAGAAGGAAUGAACGCAUGCCUCGAUCUCGAUCGGAGCAGGAGAUGAACAGAGGAAUGAUUCGGACAAAACACUUGAGUAAAACAAACGAAAAAGGAAGAAGAUUAAAUUGCAGUUAGUGUACCUGGGCAGCGUUGAGGGCGGAGUUGAGCAGCGUGGGCAGCGCCCGGCGUCCGACGCGGACGUCCGCCUCCACGGUCAGAUCCUUGAACUGCACCUCCACCUUCACCGCGCCUACCCCCAAUCUAACAGCACCGGACAUGAGGUGUUAUUUUCUUGUUUUAGAAACACCUGAGUACUGUUUAGUACUACAGUACAACAUAGAGUCAUAGACAUAUGCAGAUACGCAAUUCACCAGUUCACAAUUUUAUUCU